rnacentral:rRNA from 1 species
AACCUAUUUUAUUCUGGUAGAAGGUAGUGUUUAAGGUAAGACUCUCAUAGUUGUAAUUUUUGGCUUUUGUUGGGGGUUGAUGUAUUCUCCUAUUACUAGAGAGGAAAAUUUUAACAAUUACAGCAAUGUAUAUUUAGUUACUUUAAAGAGAUUAAAGCUCAGUGCCAGCAUUCGCGGUUAAACUGAUUUUUUUGGACUCCUUUAUAGCUUUAGUGUGGUUGAGUAAUAACGUAUUUCUUUUGUUUAAAUAUGUUAAGAAGGUUUUGUAGCUUAUUAUUCAAAUUUURUGUUUUAUUUAAGACAGGGAUUAGAGACCCCUUUAUUAGAAAUUUGAGUUUUUUACACUACAGUUUUAACUGAAAGAAAUUGUCGGUUAGUUAUAUUUUUUUGGGGGAGUGUGUGACUUAAAAAGAUGAUCCACUUAAUAAUCUACCAGUUUUAGCUUAGUCAGUGUACAUCCGGUUAUAUGUCUUUAACGUUAAGUUUUAGUGCGUAGAAUUGUUUAAAAUUCAAUCCAGGUCAAUGUGCUGCUGAUAAAUUGGUUGUCAUUCACUACAUUUAUUUUAAUUUAAGGUUUUUAAUAGCUUUUUGUUCAGGACUCAAUUGUAAUGUUAUUUAGUUAGUUGACAUGAACAUGAUUUGAUUAGUGUACACAUUGCCCGUCAACUUCGAUGAGAAUUGAAGUAAGUCGUAACAAGGUAGCUUUAGGGGAAUCUGAAGCUAGUUUAAU